AUUGAACGCUGGCGGCAGGCCUAACACAUGCAAGUCGAACGAGUGGCGGACGGGUGAGUAAUGUCUGGGAAACUGCCCGAUGGAGGGGGAUAACUACUGGAAACGGUAGCUAAUACCGCAUACCAUCGGAUGUGCCCAGAUGGGAUUAGCUAGUAGGUGGGGUAACGGCUCACCUAGGCGACGAUCCCUAGCUGCGCUGAGAGGAUGACCAGCAACACUAGAACUUGGACACGGUCCAGACUCCUACGAGAGGCAGCCGUGAGGAUUAUUGCACAAUGGGCGCAAGCCUGAUGCAGCAAUGCCGCGUUUAUGAAGAAGGCCUUCGGGUUGUAAAGUACUUUAAGCGAGGAGGCGUUACGCGCAGAAGAAGCACCGGCUAACGCCGUGCCAGCGGCCGCGGUAAUUC
rnacentral:rRNA from 1 species